rnacentral:rRNA from 1 species
AUUGAACGCUGGCGGCAGGCCUAACACAUGCAAGUCGAGCGGAUGAAGGGAGCUUGCUCCUGGAUUCAGCGGCGGACGGGUGAGUAAUGCCUAGGAAUCUGCCUGGUAGUGGGGGAUAACGUCCGGAAACGGGCGCUAAUACCGCAUACGUCCUGAGGGAGAAAGUGGGGGAUCUUCGGACCUCACGCUAUCAGAUGAGCCUAGGUCGGAUUAGCUAGUUGGUGGGGUAAAGGCCUACCAAGGCGACGAUCCGUAACUGGUCUGAGAGGAUGAUCAGUCACACGGGAACUGGGAAACGGCCCAGACUCCUACGGGAGGCAGCAGUGGGGAAUAUUGGACAAUGGGCGAAAGCCUGAUCCAGCCAUGCCGCGGGUGUGAAAAAGGUCUUCGGAUUGUAAAGCCUUUUAAGUUGGGAGGAAGGGCAGUAAGUUAAUACCUUGCUGUUUGGACGUUACCAACAAAAUAAGCACCGGCUAACUUCGG